CAUGCAGUCGAGCGGCAGCACAGAGAAACUUGUUUCUCGGGUGGCGAGCGGCGGCACGGGUGAGUAAUGCCUGGGAAAUUGCCCUGAUGUGGGGGAUAACCAUUGGAAACGAUGGCUAAUACCGCAUGAUAGCUUCGGCUCAAAGAGGGGGACCUUCGGGCCUCUCGCGUCAGGAUAUGCCCAGGUGGGAUUAGCUAGUUGGUGAGGUAAUGGCUCACCAAGGCGACGAUCCCUAGCUGGUCUGAGAGGAUGAUCAGCCACACUGGAACUGAGACACGGUCCAGACUCCUACGGGAGGCAGCAGUGGGGAAUAUUGCACAAUGGGCGCAAGCCUGAUGCAGCCAUGCCGCGUGUGUGAAGAAGGCCUUCGGGUUGUAAAGCACUUUCAGUCGUGAGGAAGGUGGUGUUGUUAAUAGCAGCAUCAUUUGACGUUAGCGACAGAAGAAGCACCGGCUAACUCCGUGCCAGCAGCCGCGGUAAUACGGAGGGUGCGAGCGUUAAUCGGAAUUACUGGGCGUAAAGCGCAUGCAGGUGGUUUGUUAAGUCAGAUGUGAAAGCCCGGGGCUCAACCUCGGAAUAGCAUUUGAAACUGGCAAGCUAGAGUACUGUAGAGGGGGGGGUAGAAUUUCAUGUGUAGCGGUGAAAUGCGUAGAGAUCUGAAGGGAAUACCGGUGGCGAAGGCGGCCCCCUGCACAGAUACUGACACUCAGAUGCGAAAGC
rnacentral:rRNA from 1 species